rnacentral:lncRNA from 1 species
UAUGGCGUCACUGUGCGGCGUGCGCAUGCGCGGGGGGACAUUUUUAUCGAGGGCUGUGUAAUCUCGGAGACACGUCAUGAAGCAAGAACAGGGAGGGUUUCAGCAUUUUCACUGACAACGACAGAAUAUCAGAAUUAGCAGCAAAUAACGUUAACAUGGGUGCAAAAAACGUUGUGUAACGCUACAAAGAUUGCUGGAAGUUGCACUGAUGACAGAUUGCUGUGGUACAUCCCUUCCUUUCAACUGUCCUGAGGGUUCUACCAUCGAGAGAGCACUACAGCUGUCUGGUCCGGUUCUGAAGAUCCGUGAGAAGAACAAAAAGAAAUACAGUGAUUAGGACUGCCUGCACUUCUGGCUUUAAACUCUUCCAAGCACAAGGUCGCCUACUUAUUAGGUGGUUCUUCAUUUUACUGGAGUGAA